CAAAAAAUCUAAAAAAUGGAAAGUAAUCUAAAACAGAGUCCCAAGAACACUUCUCCUUCCAGAUUUGUCAUCAAUGUUCCUCCGAACUGACCCUAAAUUCGUCAUCUUGUUGUUGAACCAGUAUUGUUGAGCUUGAGUGAAUUCCAUCUCUACACUUAACAUCUCACAAGUGCCAUGGAAUCGACCUCCUUGAAGACUUCUUCAGCUCAAAAUGGGUUCAAACAACAAAUCUAGGAGCUUGGUAGCCAUGACCCAGCAAUCUUCAUCUAGAAUCAGCUGAGGCGAUAAAUACUCUUGAGUCUUUCCCUCUACGCAGAAUGAGCUCCGAAGAACUGAUACCACUGCGAAGAGAUCCAUUUUCAAGAGGAUUCUCGAUUCUCCAAGGCAGAUUCCAGUUAUCUUUUGAUACAAUUUUGAGGGAGGGGUCUCGCCUAUGAUCAAAUUGUACCCAUUUUCGAUACACGAGUUGAUCCCAAACAAGGAGGAGGCAACUUCAGCAUAGUUGCUAGUACCUUACCCGAAUGGUAUUACUUGACUUGAAUACAAAUUAGUCUGGGUUCCAAAGUAAGCUAUUUGCAAUAUUGAUGAAUACAAUGUAUUGUUUUCCGUCA